GGAUAACCUACCCUUAGGACUGGGAUAACCCUGGGAAACUGGGGAUAAUACUGGAUAGGCAAUUAUUCCUGUAAUGGUUUUUUGUUUAAAUGUUUUUUCGCCUAAGGAUGGGUCUGCGGCCGAUUAGGUAGUUGGUUAGGUAAUGGCUUACCAAGCCUUUGAUCGGUACGGGUUGUGAGAGCAAGAGCCCGGAGAUGGAACCUGAGACAAGGUUCCAGGCCCUACGGGGUGCAGCAGGCGCGAAACCUCUGCAAUGUGAGAAAUCGCGACGGGGGGAUCCCAAGUGCCAUUCUUAACGGGAUGGCUUUUCAUUAGUGUAAAGAGCUUUUGGAAUAAGAGCUGGGCAAGACCGGUGCCAGCCGCCGCGGUAACACCGGCAGCUCUAGUGGUAGCAGUUUUUAUUGGGCCUAAAGCGUCCGUAGCCGGUUUAAUAAGUCUCUGGUGAAAUCCUGCAGCUUAACUGUGGGAAUUGCUGGAGAUACUAUUAGACUUGAGAUCGGGAGAGGUUAGAGGUACUCCCAGGGUAGAGGUGAAAUUCUGUAAUCCUGGGAGGACCGCCUGUUGCGAAGGCGUCUGACUGGAACGAUUCUGACGGUGAGGGACGAAAGCUAGGGGCGCGAACCGGAUUAGAUACCCGGGUAGUCCUAGCUGUAAACGAUGCGGACUUGGUGUUGGGGUGGCUUUGAGCUGUCCCAGUGCCGAAGGGAAGCUGUUAAGUCCGCCGCCUGGGAAGUACGGUCGCAAGACUGAAACUUAA
rnacentral:rRNA from 1 species